UGGGGGAUAUUGCACAAUGGGCGAAAGCCUGAUGCAGCGACGCCGCGUGGGGGAUGAAGGCCUUCGGGUUGUAAACUUCUUUUGCUCUGAACAAGGCAUGCCUUUGGGGUGUGUUGAGUGUAGGGGUUGAUUAGCGCCGGCUAACUACGUGCCAGCAGCCGCGGUAAUACGUAGGGCGCGAGCGUUGUCCGGAAUUAUUGGGCGUAAAGGGCUUGUAGGUGGCUGGUUGCGUCUGUCAUGUAAGCUCAUGGCUUAACUGUGGGUUUGCGGUGGGUACGGGCUGGCUUGAGUGCAGUAGGGGAGGCUGGAAUUCCUGGUGUAGCGGUGGAAUGCGCAGAUAUCAGGAGGAAUACCGGUGGCGAAGGCGGGUGUCUGGGCUGUUACUGACGCUGAGGAGCGAAAGCGUGGGGAGCGAACAGG
rnacentral:rRNA from 1 species